GUCAAAACCCGCUAAAACACCGGUUCUCGUUUGAUCACCGAAGUUAAGCAGUCUUGAGCCCUGUCAGUAUUUAGAUGGGGGCCCGUUUGGGAACAUCGGAUACUGUAA